CAGAGAACUUGCCCCUCUAGGGUAGAUCUCCCACCCUUUGUUUACCAUACCUAUGUUGCUUUGGCAGGCCGCCCUUUGGGCGACCGGCUUCGGCUGGUCAGCGCCUGCCAGAGGAUCUCAAACUCUUGAUUUAGUGUUGUCUGAGUACUUGAUAAAUAGUUA
rnacentral:misc_RNA from 1 species